rnacentral:lncRNA from 10 species
GUAACUGGUAAAUGAAUUUCAUUUGCUUAACUUUUAGAUGAUAUGUUUCAGGCAAAAAAAAAGUUGUGCACCCACUUAUCUCUUUAAAGCGGAGGAUGAAAAGCAUUGAAUAGGUAGGAUUCUUAAUGUCUGAGAUGAAGGCGAUGUAGGAGGCAAACAAUACGGUUAAAAAUGUUGAGUCGACCCAAACAGAAAGACCAGGUUUCAAUCCAGACUCUGCGGCUUACUGAGAAUAUGAUCUUGAGUAAACUGCUUGACCUUCCUGAGCCUCAGCUUUCUUAGUUGUUAAAUGGACUUUAACAAUACUAAUCUGUUAGGACUGUGGUGAGGAUGAAAUCAGGGAAAUCAGUCACAGCAGUGCUCUCCUGGCACAGUAAUGUCUUACAAUAACAGAAUGCAGGAGAGCACAUAUCAAUGAAGAAAAGACAAAAUGUACUUAUCCAUGAAGCUGAGGUUAAGAAACCAGUGUCUUCAAGAGCCAGGGACAGCACUGGGUCUGUGCAGAGUUGAGAGAUGGUGAUGACAUGUGGUUUCCAGCAUUCCUCACCCAGUCCAGGGACACUGUGGGUGUGCCCAGCUUAAGUCCAGUAACUGGAAAUACAAGCCCAAGUUCUGGAGAGUUUGAGCUGCAG